UGUGUCGGCCUGAUCAUCGCCCUGCCGCAUGGCAGGGAGGAAAGUCCGAACUCCAUAGGGCACCGUACUUCCUAACGGGAAGGCACCGUAUUUGCGGUGACGGCAAGUGCAACAGAAAGCAUACCAGCCGAUGAACUUGUUCAAGUUCAGGUGAUGGGUGAAAUGGUGGGGUAAGAGCCCACCAGCGUCAUGGGUGAUCAUGGCGGCUGGGUAAACCCUACGGGGAGCAAGGCCAAACAGCAUCGCACGCGCAAGCGAUAAGGUGGCCCGCCUAACAGCGAUGCGGGUAGGCUGCUAGAGGCCCGUGGUGACACUGGUCCCAGAUAGAUGAUGAUCCGUCUGGAUUCUGUACGGUGUAGCAGUCCAGAUGACAGAAUUCGGCUUACCGGCCCGCAUGACGG
rnacentral:RNase_P_RNA from 1 species